rnacentral:rRNA from 1 species
AUACGGAGACUACGAGCGUUACUCGGAUUCACUGGGCGUAAAGGGAGCGCAGGCGGAAUGGUGUGUUAGGUGUGAAAUCUCGGGGCUUAACUUCGAAAUAGCGCCUAAAACUAUCAAUCUAGAGUCUUGGAGAGGUAAGCGGAAUUUCCGGUGUAGCGGUGAAAUGCGUAGAUAUCGGAAGGAACACCGAAGGCGAAGGCAGCUUACUGGACAGGGACUGACGCUCAUGCUCGAAAGCGUGGGGAGCGAAAGGGAUUAGAUACCCCUGUAGUCCACGCUCUAAACGUUGUACACUAGGUAUUGGAGGAAUCAUCCCCUUCAGUGCCCCAGCUAACGCGAUAAGUGUACCGCCUGAGGACUACGACCGCAAGGUUAAAACUCAAAUGAAUUGACGGGG